AUUGAACGCUGGCGGCAGGCCUAACACAUGCAAGUCGAGCGAGCGGCGGACGGGUGAGUAAUGUAUGGGGGAUGCCCGAUAGAGGGGGAGAACUACUGGAAACGGUGGCUAAUACCGCAUAUUGUCGGAUAACUCACAUGGGAUUAGCUAGUAGGUAAGGUAAUGGCUUACCUAGGCGACGAUCCCUAGCUGGUCUGAGAGGAUGAUCAGCCACACUGGGAAUGAGACACGGCCCAGACUCCUACGGAGGCAGCAGUGGGGAAUAUUGCACAAUGGGCGCAAGCCUGAUGCAGCCAUGCCGCGUGGAUGAAGAAGGCCCUAGGGUUGUAAAGUAUUUUCAGUCGGGAGGCGUUACCGACAGAAGAAGCACCGGCUAACUCCGUGCCAGCAGCCGCGGUAAUAC
rnacentral:rRNA from 1 species